AAGCUACUUCUUCUGUCCGAAAAUAUUUGUCGGAGAAAUGAAUGGAUCUAAACGUAUUUUAGUUCUAGAUAUAUUCAUUUUUAUCUAUUUUUAUGACAAGUAAUUCUGGACGGUGGGAGUAUAUU
rnacentral:pre_miRNA from 1 species